UCUGCAAGUUCUUCAUCUAGACGCACUGU
rnacentral:piRNA from 1 species